rnacentral:rRNA from 1 species
CCNGAAAGGGACGGCUAACUACGUGCCAGCAGCCGCGGUAAUACGUAGNUCCCGAGCGUUGUCCGGAUUUAUUGGGCGUAAAGCGAGCGCAGGCGGUUAGAUAAGCCUGAAGUUAAAGGCUGUGGCUUAACCAUAGUACGCUUUGGAAACUGUUUAACUUGAGUGCAGAAGGGGAGAGUGGAAUUCCAUGUGUAGCGGUGAAAUGCGUAGAUAUAUGGAGGAACACCGGUGGCGAAAGCGGCUCUCUGGUCUGUAACUGACGCUGAGGCUCGAAAGCGUGGGGAGCGAACAGGAUUAGAUACCCUGGUAGUNCACGCCGUAAACGAUGAGUGCUAGGUGUUAGGCCCUUUCCGGGGCUUAGUGCCGCAGCUAACGCAUUAAGCACUCCGCCUGGGGAGUACGACCGCAAGGUUGAAACUCAAAGGAAUUGACGGGGGCCCGCACAAGCGGUGGAGCAUGUGGUUUAAUUCGAAGCAACGCGAAGAACCUUACCAGGUCUUGACAUCCCGAUGCCCGCUCUAGAGAUAGAGUUUUACUUCGGUACAUCGGUGACAGGUGGUGCAUGGUUGUCGUCAGCUCGUGUCGUGAGAUGUUGGGUUAAGUCCCGCAACGAGCGCAACCCUUAUUGUUAGUUGCCAUCAUUCAGUUGGGCACUCUAGCGAGACUGCCGGUAAUAAACCGGAGGAAGGUGGGGAUGACGUCAAAUCAUCAUGCCCCUUAUGACCUGGGCUACACACGUGCUACAAUGGCUGGUACAACGAGUCGCAAGUCGGUGACGGCAAGCUAAUCUCUUAAAGCCAGUCUCAGUUCGGAUUGUAGGCUGCAACUCGCCUACAUGAAGUCGGAAUCGCUAGUAAUCGCGGAUCAGCACGCCGCGGUGAAUACGUUCCCGGGCCUUGUACACACCGCCCGUCACACCACGAGAGUUUGUAACACCCGAAGUCGGUGAGGUAACCUUUUAGGAGC